rnacentral:lncRNA from 1 species
AAGGUGCUCAGUGGGGGAGUUUCUGAGCCAGGAGAAGGAAAUUCGCAGGGUUAAUCAUUCAGUUAAGGUGGGGCAGGAACAAAUCACAAUGGUGGAAUGUCAUCAGUUAAGGCGGGGCAGGGCAUAUUCACUUCUUUUGUGAUUCUUCAGUUACUUCAGGCCAUCUGGGCGUAUACGUGCAAGUCACAGGGGAUGCGAUGGCUUGGCUUGGGCUCAGAGGCCUGACAUUAUUUAACAUUGUAUGAAUGCCUUGCCAGCUAAGAAGGUAUGGGCAAAGCUGUACCCCAAGGGCCAUUGAUCCUACUUAGAACAACGUGAAAAUGUCUCUCUAACCUACUACUGUAAGAAUGGGUUAUCUGGUAACAAUGCCUGCUCAGGCACCACUUGUGCAACUAGAAUCAAUACCACUGUCAUACACAAUUGUGAUAAGUUGUUUCCUAAGCACCCUCACUGUGUUCAUGUGGUUGGUUGUGUCUACUUGGGUUCAUAUGUUUCUAUUUCAACAACACUUGAGUGGUGUUCUUUCAUUGGAUCUUUGAAAAUUAGCUGUUUAAGUGAGACUAACCAAACCAUUUACUAGAAAGUUAAACAAUGUAUUCUACAUGUUGGUAAUUUCAAUAUAUACAGCAAUCCUUAUUUUUACUUAACCAUUAUUUCCAAUAGGACUCCAAAUCUUGUGUGGUUAGAGUCAAUAUUUCAAUACUAACACUGGUUAUCUGUUUUGUGUCAUUCUAUUCUCUUGUUCUCACCGGUUAUCUUCUAAUGAAAUAAAAAGAACUUCAGAAGUGGACUGCCUGCAGGGCUUUAUUUGACACCUUCUGCAUUCACUAAAUCCAAAGUAUAUUGUCUACCAACCAAGAAUGUUUUCCCUGCAACUGAGCAAAAGAGCAGACACAUGAAUGAGGUGUCACUAGCCAGAGUACAACAUCUCUCUGGCCACAGCGAUUUGUUUGAGGAUAGCAUGUGAUGCAGCAAGGUCGGUAUAAGCUCUCCUUGUAAUUUUUGUUGGUACUAUUUGAAAACAGUGAAUGAUUUGAGAAUGAAUGACAAUGUAGGUCUCUACUGGCUGAAAAUUAUCUUUG